rnacentral:misc_RNA from 1 species
GGUUCCUAAAUCAUCUCCUAUCACCAGCAUUGAUCCGUUUCCCAUCUCCGGGUCGGGUAUAUACGAAAUCCAUCAACCGACCGGGCAAAACCUCGCCGGCGAGAGCCAACGCUCAGCUUCAGAUCGUAGAGAGCUCUAGCUGAAGGAUCAGAUAGCGUGACAUAAGCAUCGUGAAUCUCAAUGAAAUUCCGUCCGUCGGACGAUUCCUCCGGCAGAG